GACGAACUUUGGCGGCGUGCUUAACACAUGCAAGUCGAACGGAAAGGCCCUGCUUUUGUGGGGUGCUCGAGUGGCGAACGGGUGAGUAACACGUGAGUAACCUGCCCUUGACUUUGGGAUAACUUCAGGAAACUGGGGCUAAUACCGGAUAGGAGCUCCUGCUGCAUGGUGGGGGUUGGAAAGUUUCGGCGGUUGGGGAUGGACUCGCGGCUUAUCAGCUUGUUGGUGGGGUAGUGGCUUACCAAGGCUUUGACGGGUAGCCGGCCUGAGAGGGUGACCGGCCACAUUGGGACUGAGAUACGGCCCAGACUCCUACGGGAGGCAGCAGUGGGGAAUAUUGCACAAUGGGCGGAAGCCUGAUGCAGCAACGCCGCGUGCGGGAUGACGGCCUUCGGGUUGUAAACCGCUUUCCCCUGUGACGAAGCGUGAGUGACGGUAAUGGGUAAAGAAGCACCGGCUAACUACGUGCCAGCAGCCGCGGUGAUACGUAGGGUGCGAGCGUUGUCCGGAUUUAUUGGGCGUAAAGGGCUCGUAGGUGGUUGAUCGCGUCGGAAGUGUAAUCUUGGGGCUUAACCCUGAGCGUGCUUUCGAUACGGGUUGACUUGAGGAAGGUAGGGGAGAAUGGAAUUCCUGGUGGAGCGGUGGAAUGCGCAGAUAUCAGGAGGAACACCAGUGGCGAAGGCGGUUCUCUGGGCCUUUCCUGACGCUGAGGAGCGAAAGCGUGGGGAGCGAACAGGCUUAGAUACCCUGGUAGUCCACGCUGUAAACGGUUGGGUACUAGGUGUGGGGUCCAUUCCACGGGUUCCGUGCCGUAGCUAACGCUUUAAGUACCCCGCCUGGGGAGUACGGCCGCAAGGCUAAAACUCAAAGGAAUUGACGGGGCCCCGCACAAGCGGCGGAGCAUGCGGAUUAAUUCGAUGCAACGCGUAGAACCUUACCUGGGUUUGACAUGGAUCGGGAGUGCUCAGAGAUGGGUGUGCCUCUUUUGGGGUCGGUUCACAGGUGGUGCAUGCCUGUCGUCAGCUCGUGUCGUGAGAUGUUGGGUUAAGUCCCGCAACGAGCGCAACCCUUGUUCACUGUUGCCAGCACGUUAUGGUGGGGACUCAGUGGAGACCGCCGGGGUCAACUCGGAGGAAGGUGGGGAUGACGUCAAGUCAUCAUGCCCCUUAUGUCCAGGGCUUCACGCAUGCUACAAUGGCUGGUACAGAGAGUGGCGAGCCUGUGAGGGUGAGCGAAUCUCGGAAAGCCGGUCUCAGUUCGGAUUGGGGUCUGCAACUCGACCUCAUGAAGUCGGAGUCGCUAGUAAUCGCAGAUCAGCAACGCUGCGGUGAAUACGUUCCCUGGG
rnacentral:rRNA from 1 species